UACGAAGGGGGCUAGCGUUGCUCGGAAUCACUGGGCGUAAAGGGCGCGUAGGCGGCCAUUCAAGUCGGGGGUGAAAGCCUGUGGCUCAACCACAGAAUUGCCUUCGAUACUGUUUGGCUUGAGUUUGGUAGAGGUUGGUGGAACUGCGAGUGUAGAGGUGAAAUUCGUAGAUAUUCGCAAGAACACCAGUGGCGAAGGCGGCCAACUGGACCAACACUGACGCUGAGGCGCGAAAGUGUGGGGAGCAAAC
rnacentral:rRNA from 2 species